GGUUAAGCGACUAAGCGUACACGGUGGAUGCCCUGGCAGUCAGAGGCGAUGAAGGGCGUGCUAAUCUGCGAUAAGCGCCGGUAAGGUGAUAUGAACCGUUAUAACCGGCGAUACCCGAAUGGGGAAACCCAGUGUGAUUCGUCACACUAUCAUUAACUGAAUCCAUAGGUUAAUGAGGCGAACCGGGGGAACUGAAACAUCUAAGUACCCCGAGGAAAAGAAAUCAACCGAGAUUCCCCCAGUAGCGGCGAGCGAACGGGGAGGAGCCCAGAGCCUGAAUCAGCAUGUGUGUUAGUGGAAGCGUCUGGAAAGGCGCGCGAUACAGGGUGACAGCCCCGUACACAAAAGCGCAUGUGCUGUGAGCUCGAUGAGUAGGGCGGGACACGUGGUAUCCUGUCUGAAUAUGGGGGGACCAUCCUCCAAGGCUAAAUACUCCUGACUGACCGAUAGUGAACCAGUACCGUGAGGGAAAGGCGAAAAGAACCCCGGCGAGGGGAGUGAAAAAGAACCUGAAACCGUGUACGUACAAGCAGUGGGAGCCCCACCACCAAAGCAUUCUCUGGUGUUGAAGGCCCUGCAAAGCAGCAUCGCGGUGGCGGAGCGUCGUUUGCGACGCCCAACACACAAAACAAGCGGUGAAUGCUUUGGGGUGGGGUGACUGCGUACCUUUUGUAUAAUGGGUCAGCGACUUAUAUUCUGUAGCAAGGUUAACCGAAUAGGGGAGCCGGAGGGAAACCGAGUCUUAAUUGGGCGUUAAGUUGCAGGGUAUAGACCCGAAACCCGGUGAUCUAGCCAUGGGCAGGUUGAAGGUUGGGUAACACUAACUGGAGGACCGAACCGACUAAUGUUGAAAAAUUAGCGGAUGACCUGUGGCUGGGGGUGAAAGGCCAAUCAAACCGGGAGAUAGCUGGUUCUCCCCGAAAGCUAUUUAGGUAGCGCCUCGUGAAUUCAUCUCCGGGGGUAGAGCACUGUUUCGGCUAGGGGGCCAUCCCGGCUUACCAACCCGAUGCAAACUGCGAAUACCGGAGAAUGUUAUCACGGGAGACACACGGCGGGUGCUAACGUCCGUCGUGAAGAGGGAAACAACCCAGACCGCCAGCUAAGGUCCCAAAGUCAUGGUUAAGUGGGAAACGAUGUGGGAAGGCCCAGACAGCCAGGAUGUUGGCUUAGAAGCAGCCAUCAUUUAAAGAAAGCGUAAUAGCUCACUGGUCGAGUCGGCCUGCGCGGAAGAUGUAACGGGGCUAAACCAUGCACCGAAGCUGCGGCAGCGACGCUGAUGCGUUGUUGGGUAGGGGAGCGUUCUGUAAGCCUGUGAAGGUGUGUCGUGAGGCAUGCUGGAGGUAUCAGAAGUGCGAAUGCUGACAUAAGUAACGAUAAAGCGGGUGAAAAGCCCGCUCGCCGGAAGACCAAGGGUUCCUGUCCAACGUUAAUCGGGGCAGGGUGAGUCGACCCCUAAGGCGAGGCCGAAAGGCGUAGUCGAUGGGAAACGGGUUAAUAUUCCCGUACUUGGUGUUACUGCGAAGGGGGGACGGAGAAGGCUAUGUUGGCCGGGCGACGGUUGUCCCGGUUUAAGCGUGUAGGUGUGUGUUCCAGGUAAAUCCGGUUCACUUUAACACUGAGGCGUGACGACGAGGCACUACGGUGCUGAAGCAACAAAUGCCCUGCUUCCAGGAAAAGCCUCUAAGCAUCAGGUAACACGAAAUCGUACCCCAAACCGACACAGGUGGUCAGGUAGAGAAUACCAAGGCGCUUGAGAGAACUCGGGUGAAGGAACUAGGCAAAAUGGUGCCGUAACUUCGGGAGAAGGCACGCUGACACGUAGGUGAAGUGAUUUACUCAUGGAGCUGAAGUCAGUCGAAGAUACCAGCUGGCUGCAACUGUUUAUUAAAAACACAGCACUGUGCAAACACGAAAGUGGACGUAUACGGUGUGACGCCUGCCCGGUGCCGGAAGGUUAAUUGAUGGGGUCAGCGUAAGCGAAGCUCCUGAUCGAAGCCCCGGUAAACGGCGGCCGUAACUAUAACGGUCCUAAGGUAGCGAAAUUCCUUGUCGGGUAAGUUCCGACCUGCACGAAUGGCGUAAUGAUGGCCAGGCUGUCUCCACCCGAGACUCAGUGAAAUUGAACUCGCUGUGAAGAUGCAGUGUACCCGCGGCAAGACGGAAAGACCCCGUGAACCUUUACUAUAGCUUGACACUGAACAUUGAGCCUUGAUGUGUAGGAUAGGUGGGAGGCUUUGAAGUGUGGACGCCAGUCUGCAUGGAGCCGACCUUGAAAUACCACCCUUUAAUGUUUGAUGUUCUAACGUGGACCCGUAAUCCGGGUUGCGGACAGUGUCUGGUGGGUAGUUUGACUGGGGCGGUCUCCUCCUAAAGAGUAACGGAGGAGCACGAAGGUUGGCUAAUCCUGGUCGGACAUCAGGAGGUUAGUGCAAUGGCAUAAGCCAGCUUGACUGCGAGCGUGACGGCGCGAGCAGGUGCGAAAGCAGGUCAUAGUGAUCCGGUGGUUCUGAAUGGAAGGGCCAUCGCUCAACGGAUAAAAGGUACUCCGGGGAUAACAGGCUGAUACCGCCCAAGAGUUCAUAUCGACGGCGGUGUUUGGCACCUCGAUGUCGGCUCAUCACAUCCUGGGGCUGAAGUAGGUCCCAAGGGUAUGGCUGUUCGCCAUUUAAAGUGGUACGCGAGCUGGGUUUAGAACGUCGUGAGACAGUUCGGUCCCUAUCUGCCGUGGGCGCUGGAGAACUGAGGGGGGCUGCUCCUAGUACGAGAGGACCGGAGUGGACGCAUCACUGGUGUUCGGGUUGUCAUGCCAAUGGCACUGCCCGGUAGCUAAAUGCGGAAGAGAUAAGUGCUGAAAGCAUCUAAGCACGAAACUUGCCCCGAGAUGAGUUCUCCCUGAGACUUAGAGUCUCCUGAAGGAACGUUGAAGACGACGACGUUGAUAGGCCGGGUGUGUAAGCGCAGCGAUGCGUUGAGCUAACCGGUACUAAUGAACCGUGAGGCUUAACCUU
rnacentral:rRNA from 1 species